AAGUCGUAACAAGGUUUCCGUAGGUGAACCUGCGGAAGGAUCAUUACCGAUUUUAGCGGACCUGGUUGCUUUUGACCAAGGUUUCGUGAAAUUUGUAUUUAAAACCCACGCUUUUUAUUAAAUAAUAAAAAUUAUUGUAUCAAUUAUGAUAAAAAAAAAGAUCACUUUCAACAACGGAUCUCUUGGCUCUC
rnacentral:misc_RNA from 1 species